CUGAAUAGAGGAUAGGAGUUAUAGCACUAUCACACCUUUAUGGUAGAAAGAGACGUUGGGGGAGCUGUCCCAACCUAUUCAC
ncrna:unclassified sequences skipping-rope RNA